rnacentral:rRNA from 1 species
AACGAACGCUGGCGGCGUGGAUAAGGCAUGCAAGUCGAACGGGCGACCCGCUUUCGGGUGGGAAGCUAGUGGCGAACGGGUGAGUAACACGUGGGUAAUUUGCCUUUGGAUGGGGGAUAACAUCGGGAAACCGGUGCUAAUACCGCGUAACAUUCAGGAUUCGCAUGUUUCCUGGAUCAAAGGUGGGGAUCCUUCGGGACCUACCGUCUGAAGAGAAGCCCGCGGUCGAUUAGCUUGUUGGUGAGGUAAAGGCUCACCAAGGCGACGAUCGAUAGCCGACCUGAGAGGGUGACCGGCCACACUGGGACUGAGAUACGGCCCAGACUCCUACGGGAGGCAG